rnacentral:siRNA from 1 species
AGAAUCUUGAUUGAUGCU